rnacentral:rRNA from 1 species
UACGAAGGGGGUUAGCGUUGCUCGGAAUCACUGGGCGUAAAGCGCACGUAGGCGGAUUGCUAAGUCAGGGGUGAAAUCCUGGAGCUCAACUCCAGAACUGCCCUUGAUACUGGCGGUCUCGAGUCCGGGAGAGGUGAGUGGAACUGGCGAAGUGUAGAGGUGAAAUUCGUAGAUAUUCGCAAGAACACCAGUGGCGAAGGCGGCUCACUGGCCCGGUACUGACGCUGAGGUGGCGAAAGCGUGGGGAGCAAACAGG